GAUCGGCCCGCGUCUGAUUAGCUAGGUGGUGGGGUAAAAGCCUACCAAGGCGACGAUCGGUAGCUGUUCUGAGAGGAAGAUCAGCCACACUGGGACUGAGACACGGCCCAGACUCCUACGGGAGGCAGCAGUUGGGAAUCUUGGACAAUGGGGGAAACCCUGAUCCAGCCAUGCCGCGUGAGUGAUGAAGGCCUUCGGGUUGUAAAACUCUUUCGACGGGGACGAUAAUGACGGUACCCGUAGAAGAAGCUCCGGCUAACUUCGUGCCAGCAGCCGCGGUAAUACGAAGGGGGCUAGCGUUGUUCGGAAUUACUGGGCGUAAAGCGCGCGCAGGCGGUUCUCCAAGUCAGUGGUGAAAGCCCGGAGCUCAACUCCGGAAUUGCCAUUGAAACUGUAGAACUUGAGUACGAGAGAGGUGAGUGGAAUUCCCAGUGUAGAGGUGAAAUUCUUAGAUAUUGGGAAGAACACCGGUGGCGAAAGCGGCUCACUGGCUCGUAACUGACGCUCAGGCGCGACAGCGUGGGGAUCAAAACAGAUUAGAUUCCCUGGUAGUCCACGCCGUAAACGAUGGAUGCUAGCCGUUGGAUAGCUUGCUAUUCAGUGGCCCAGCUAAAGCAUUUAGCCUUUCCGCCUGGGGGGU
rnacentral:rRNA from 1 species